rnacentral:rRNA from 1 species
CGGACGGGUGAGUAACGUGUGGGCAACCUGCCCUGUACUGGGGAAUAAUCAUUGGAAACGAUGACUAAUACCGCAUGUGGUCCUCGGAAGGCAUCUUCUGAGGAAGAAAGGAUUUAUUCGGUACAAGAUGGACCCGCGUCUGAUUAGCUAGUUGGUAAGGUAACGGCUUACCAAGGCGACGAUCAGUAGCCGACCUGAGAGGGUGACCGGCCACAUUGGGACUGAGACACGGCCCAA